UGUAAAGCUCUUUCAGCCGGAAAGAAAUCGUGCAGAUUAAUACUCUGUAUGGAUGACGGUACCGGAAGAAGAAGCACCGGCUAACUACGUGCCAGCAGCCGCGGUAAUACGUAGGGUGCGAGCGUUAAUCGGAAUUACUGGGCGUAAAGCGUGCGCAGGCGGUUUUGUAAGACAGGCGUGAAAUCCCCGGGCUUAACCUGGGAACUGCGUUUGUGACUGCAAGGCUAGAGUAUGGCAGAGGGGGGUAGAAUUCCACGUGUAUCAGUGAAAUGCGUAGAGAUGUGGAGGAAUACCGAUGGCGAAGGCAGCCCCCUGGGUCAAUACUGACGCUCAUGCACGAAAGCGUGGGGAGCAAACAGGAUUAGAUACCCUGGUAGUCCACGCCCUAAACGAUGUCAACUAGGUGUUGGGGGAGGAGACUUCCUUAGUACCGCAGCUAACGCG
rnacentral:rRNA from 1 species